rnacentral:rRNA from 1 species
GACGAACGCUGGCGGCGUGCUUAACACAUGCAAGUCGAACGGUGACCCAGGGCUUGCCCUGGUGAUCAGUGGCGAACGGGUGAGUAACACGUGGGCAACCUGCCCCUGACUUCGGGAUAACUCCUCGAAAGAGGAGCUAAUACCGGAUACGACCACUUCGGACAUCCGAUGGUGGUGGAAAGUUUUUCGGUCAGGGAUGGGCCCGCGGCCUAUCAGCUAGUUGGUGGGGUAAUGGCCUACCAAGGCGACGACGGGUAGCCGGCCUGAGAGGGCGACCGGCCACACUGGGACUGAGACACGGCCCAGACUCCUACGGGAGGCAGCAGUGGGGAAUAUUGCGCAAUGGGCGAAAGCCUGACGCAGCGACGCCGCGUGAGGGAUGAAGGCCUCGGGUUGUAAACCGUCUUUCUAGCAGGGACGAAGCGAAAGUGACGGUACCUG